rnacentral:rRNA from 1 species
GACGAACGCUGGCGGCGUGCUUAACACAUGCAAGUCGAGCGGUAAGGCCCUUUCGGGGGUACACGAGCGGCGAACGGGUGAGUAACACGUGGGUGACCUGCCCUCAGCUCUGGGAUAAGUCCGGGAAACUGGGUCUAAUACUGGAUAUUACUCUGCGGUGCAUGCCGUGGGGUGGAAAGCCUUGUGCGGCUGGGGAUGGGCCCGCGGCCUAUCAGCUUGUUGGUGGGGUGAUGGCCACCAAGGCGACGACGGGUAGCCGGCCUGAGAGGGCGACCGGCCACACUGGGACUGAGACACGGCCCAGACUCCUACGGGAGGCAGCAGUGGGGAAUCUUGCGCAAUGGGCGAAAGCCUGACGCAGCGACGCCGCGUGAGGGAUGACGGCCU